AUGAACGCUGGCGGCGUGCUUAACACAUGCCAGUCGCACGGAAAGGCUCCUGCUUGCAGGGGCGCUCGAGUGGCGAACGGGUGAGUAACACGUUGGUGAUCUGCUCUGCACUUCGGGAUGAGCCUGGGACACUGGGUCUAAUACCGGCUAGGACCAUCGUUUAUUGUCGGUGGUGGGAAGUGUUUUCGGUGUUGGAUGAGCUCGCGGCCUAUCAGCUUGUUGGUUGGGUAAUGGCCUACCAAGGCGUCGACGGGUAGCCGGCCUGAGAGGGUGUACUGCCACGUUAGGACUGAGAUACGGCCCAGACCACUACCGGAGGGAACAGUGCAGUGUAGUGCACUAGGGGAGGAAGGAAGAUGUAGUGAAGCCGCGUGGGGGAUGACGGCCAGCGGGUUGGAUACUACUUUCGCCAGGGACGAAGCGAAAGUGACGGUACCUGGAGAAGAAGCUCCGGCUAACUACGUG
rnacentral:rRNA from 1 species